GUUAAAGCCGUAUUUCUCCUUCCCUGCGCUUUCCUCUUUCCCCGCUUUAUUGUUUUUUUUUUUUUCUCUUUUCCUUCUUCUUUUCCCGUCGUAAAAAUAUGCUUUAUACUCUUAUUUAAUGGGAUAUAGGAUAAAGGGAUGGAGGCGACGCGACGCACGCCGCGUGUCCGCUCUUUCCCGGCUGCCCCCGAGCCGAACGCGGCCCGAGCCCGAGGCUUCCCCACGGCGCUGGAAUCGCGCUGCUCGCGGUGCGGGGCUGGGAGGAAGAGGGGAGCCCAUCACCCCCAUCCCGCUCCAUCUCGGGGCGGCACACGGGGAGAAAGGGGGAAGGAAAGAAAAAAAGGGAGGGGGGGGACUGUUUCUCUAUUGUGUCCUGAGCGGAUUCUCCCUCGGCUCCCCUCCCGGUCUGGUUGCAAUGAGGGGCUUCGGAAUGGACGCGCGUGGGGUGGAACGAAGGGAGAGCGAUUUUUUCACUAAAACCAUGGGAGAAGUUGGGAUUUUCUUUGGUUCGACCCCAAUAGGCAUUCACUGCUGUUUAUCAGACCUUCACGCUGGGCAGGUGUAGCCAUCACAGAACAAGCACACAGUGUGGCAGCACAUGGGAGCACUCUGGAGCAGAAUUCUUUCUGGAGGAGGAAAGUGUAGGGCAUGGUGGACACAGCAACUGGAGGAAAAAAAGAAAGGAGCUGAUGAAGCGUAUUUGGAAAAGGAUCUGUCCCUCUAUGAUGUCAACACAUUUUUCUGCAGAGCUCUUUGUAUGAUGUUGCCUACCUGUAAGACAAAUUGUCUUUGUCUCGCCGUUAGAGUUCUUGUGCACCUGCGUCGAUAACUUCAUGUAGAAUACACCAAGAGAUAGCUUUUAUAUCAUGGCAUGGGGACCCACGUGCCAGUGGUCCACACAGUAGGGUGUAUAUGUUGAAAUUGACAGAUAUGGCCAUUUCCUCCCUAGGAGUGACUAAUGCCAGAGGGCAACGGUAGUUCAUUAUGCCAUGCACUGUGUCAGGGAGGUGCCCCAAGCUUAUGGUGGCCAGAAUCCCUACGAGUGAAGAACUUUUUGGUGAAUCUCCUGCUUUGUGAAGAUUGUCUUCUCAGCUGACGGACGGAAACAUCCUGACUCAGGGAAACACAAUAAUGAGGGAUUUGUGUUUCCCCUUUGUUUGCCUUUUGCAGUGCCCAGGGGUUGGAUGUGCAGGAGCAAGUCCUUGGCUCUUCUACAUGAUGUAAAUCUACCAUAUUCUCUGUUUGUUGAGAGCAACCAGGAAGGUAUUCAGGGCCCAAGAUUCCAGUUUAGGAAGUUGUAGCAAUGAUGGGCAUCUUCCCUACUCAUUGUUUGAAAGAUUGUGAUAACAGCAACAGAAAUAAUGGCAGUCAAUGAGAAAUGAAGUUCUUAGUUCUUCUGUGCAUCAGAAUACACUGCAAGCUGAUAAGCUGUGUAUGGAAAGCAUCACAGUAGUCUGUGUAGCAAAGUACAGCCAGGGAGUACACGUGCAGUGUGCUGAGGCAUUUUUAAGCAAUAUUUAAGAGGAAAAGAGGUAACCCCUAAUCUGCUUAUCCAGUGGUGCGUGGGUAAGCGUGCUGACGCUGAGGAUGUCCCUGGAGCUAUGGCAGUAAGAAGGGAAAGCAGGGAACCUCAUUCCAGGUUAUGAAAGAACAUAAUAUGCAGGAGUGUUUUAUGUAAGUCUACGAGGGGGGAAAAUGGAUGAAAAUAGGGGAAUGGAGUUGUAGUGACUGUUACACCUGCAGAAGAAGUUGACUUUAGAGGUGGUCAUAAUGUGAAUUUCCUGUGUGUGCUGUGUUUGUAAUGUGUGAAAACAAAUUUAACUCAUCAGGUGGGAAAGUUCUUACAGAACUGAUGUCUGUGGACAGAAAGGAGUUUGUAACACAGUUAAGAUGCUGCAUGUACAGAACAAAAUUUCCCUGGACUUCACUGGGCUUUGGAUCAGACCUUCCUUCUGAAUUAAAAAAAAGAAGAGUACCACAUAAAUACAGUAUUCGUUUUGCAGAUAUUCUGCUUCAAACAGAGUAACUGAGUUCAGCCACUCUGCUUUUAUUAUUAUGACAAAUAUCUCCACAUUAGCAUAAGGGAAAACAAGGGGUGAAAUGCCAGGCGUGCUCCCACGCAUCUGAACCAACAGAAUCGCUCUCUGCAUUUUGCAGACCUUCUGCAUGAAUCAUUAUGCCCAUUCUGUGUAAUAAAUAAUAAUAAUAAU
ensembl:lncRNA